UGGCUGGCUCUAAUGUCUCUGUAGCCUUUAAACAAGAUUUAAUUAAUUUAUGGUAUAGCUAACAAGCAGUCUUUGGUCUUAUAAAUGUAUUAUUUGUUCCUGGGCAACUUGUUUUGACUGAUGGCAAAGUUAAGUUUCACUUUCUAUUUUUGAUUAUGUUGUACUGGACCACUGCCUUGUACUUUUGAGUAAAUUAUUUGCUUGUAUAUUUCCCAUUGUACAAAUGUCAUAUACUUUAUAAUAAAGGAUUGUGUUUUGCAUCAUAUUUCAUUUUAUUAUAAACAUUAAAACAGUUAGGAUAAUCAGAGCAGGCACGUUGCCAGCAUCACAUAUUGAUAUUUUUAUCAUGAAAACGAUAGGAAGCACUGUUGUGUUUUAUGUAAUAUUUAAUUUUACUUCUUUUAAAUGAAAAGAUACAUUAAAAUAAAUAUUACGGAUGAACUAGGAUUGCUUGUAUUUGAGUGACUCAACAAGUCCUCUGCUGUUCCAUUUGUAAUAUAACCGGACUGCGUCCUCCCGUCCUUGUGAGUUCGAACUCCCGAGUCUGAACUUGCAAAAUCCGAUCUAGCAAGGACACAAGUCCAUUCUUUGUGUUCUUGGAAUUGAGAAAACAGCCUAGCACUGCAUCACAUGGGCAGUUUCUCAGUUCCAAGAACACAAACUUGUGUCCUUGCUAGAUCGGACACAGACCGGUAGUACUUGUUGCGUCACUCAAUCAAAUACAUGCAUUCCUAGACGUGCCCAGCCGUGAGUUUCAGAAGCGCUUGCUGAGGUGAGGCUGCCUUGGGCAGGGUAUAUGAGCGUCUGGUGAUCACCUGGAACUCACAUAUCUGAAAUUGUCUGAGAAAUUUUUCAAAAAUAUCUUUAUAAACCGACCGCAGAUUUGAACUUUAAAGGGGUGCUGCAACGAUGUGUCAUGCAUUCUGACUUCUUUACAAUGUUAAACAAGCUGUCUUCUCAUGCUUAACAUGGUCAACUUGUCAAAAAACGAGUUGGGCAUAUUACGUAGUAUUUCUGUGCUCGAUACACUCCCCCAGCGAUCGUACAGGUUUCAGAAAGUUUUUAUCGAACAUAUAAAACUGCUUCGUAACAAUUUUUCUUAGUCCCUUAUUGGACAACUCUCCCGGAAAUCACGCGGCAGCAAGGAUAGCAGGAGAAGGUGCCUGUGCAGACGUGUCACUUUCACUUGUGUGCAGGAGAGAGAGAGAGAGAGCGAGAGAGAGAAAGAGAGAGAGCAUACGUUCGCGAAGUUCAGGUGUUUGUUUGUUCACUGCAUUUGGGUGAUGAAUGUUAUAUAAACGGUGGAUAUAAUGCUGGAUUUGGAGAUUGUUUGAAACUGAUAUAUAUAGCCGUCCCAGAGCUAAAAGAUGCCGGACAUAAACCGCAUGCGCCCAGGCUUCGAGAACACGGUCAGCCCAAAUGAACUUCACUCCUGCACCGGCACACCCACAGCGAAAGGCGCGAGCCAUGACUGGAGCGAUGACCCAACCGCCGCCACCGGUCUUCGAGAUCCCGACCAGGAACCGCUUUGCCGCCCUCUGCGAGACGGAAUGCAACGCUGUGGUCAUCGGAGACUCAAUCGUCCGGAACGUACGCGCUUCCUCCACUAAAGGUAAGGUGCGCACUCAUUGUUUUCCUGGCGCCCGUGUUCUUGAUGUCUCUGCGCAGGUACCUGCGAUCCUGAAGGACGAUGCUAACGUCGGAGCUGUCGUGCUGUAAGCGGGGGUGAAUGACGUCAGGAUGCGGCAGUCGGCGAUCCUGAAGAGGGACUUCAGGAGUCUGAUCGAGACGGUACGCACGGGCUUCGCCCACGGCGAGGAUCAUCGUAUCAGGGCCGCUUCCUACCUACCGACGAGGGAAUGAAAAGUUCAGUAGACUAUUUGCUCUAAAUAAAUGGUUGAUGUCAUGGUGUAUUGAACAGAAGCUGCUCUUUGUUGAUAAUUUUGAUCUAUUCUGGGAGCGACCUAGGCUCUUCCGCCCUGACGGCCUGCACCCCAGCAGCAUCGGAGCGGAACUUCUGACAACAUCUCAAAGACGCUACGCACUGCUUGACUACGUCUCCCAGCGGGAGAGAUUCCGCCAGGCCCAGAUGAACGUCAUAUGCCCAUCCCCAACUAGAGAUUACGCCAGCUACAUCGGAAAAUCCCGUACCAUCCUCCUGCGAGAGCCUGUGGACUGACUGACCAUCCCAGCUCCAUCCAAGGCAAUUCCACCACCACCCAAGAAAAAGGCGACCAUCUGGCCGGCCCAGCUCAGACAAUUCCAUCCCCAACCGAGAGCAAAGACGGACUACCUGUCAUAUAAAUGCUAAAUUUACAAUACUUGGUAUUUAAUGCUAAACUUACAUCACAUGACAGCAGUUUGAAGUUAUAGCUGCACUCAGUGACUUUGAUUGGAGAUUGCUGGGUGGGUGUUUGUAGGGAGUGGGGGGGCUUGCUGGUUGUGGUUCGGGGCGUUUCAUUUGUUGGGACUCUGUGGGUCUGGUCUGGUUGGUCUUGUUUUGUGGUCGAUGUCGGACAACAGAGGAAUAAAGUUAAUUAUGCCAUAACUAUUUUUCCCUGGUUGUUCCUCUGUUGUCUGUUGUUGAUCGCGGAAUGGGACCGGGUUGGCCCUGCGCGGUUUCGGCGGGUGGGGCUUCCUGGGUCGCGGCCCCUGGGCUCUCCCUGUUCUUCGUGGACGUUGCUCAGUGGCUUUGGUCGGGGUCACUGAGUGCAGCUAUGACACAUCAGAGGAGAUCUGGCCCUCCAGGCUGAGCCUGGUUUCUCCCAAGGUUAUUUUUUCUCCAUUUAUUAAUCAUUGGAGUUUGGGUUCCUCAUCACAGCAGUGCAGUGUUGGCUUGCUCACCGGGAGACUGCAUUUAUUUAUUUAUUAUUUAUUUAUUAGAUAUUAUUUAUUAUAAUGAUCUUGCUUGGUCUAUAAACACCAUGCACUGCGCUGUGUUUUACCUUUCUGUGUUUUUCUUAUUUGCUCCUGUAAAGCUGCUUUGGAACAAUGCACAUUGUGAAAAGCGCUAUAUAAAUAAAAUUGAAUUGAAUUGAAGUGACAA